rnacentral:rRNA from 1 species
AGUCGAGCGGUAACAGGGGUAGCUUGCUACCCGCUGACGAGCGGCGGACGGGUGAGUAAUGCAUAGGAAUCUGCCCGGUAGUGGGGGAUAACCUGGGGAAACCCAGGCUAAUACCGCAUACGUCCUACGGGAGAAAGGGGGCUCCGGUUCCCGCUAUUGGAUGAGCCUAUGUCGGAUUAGCUAGUUGGUGAGGUAAUGGCUCACCAAGGCGACGAUCCGUAUCUGGUCUGAGAGGAUGAUCAGCCACAUCGGGACUGAGACACGGCCCGAACUCCUACGGGAGGCAGCAG